rnacentral:rRNA from 1 species
GAUGAACGCUGGCGGCGUGCUUAACACAUGCAAGUCGAGCGAAGCACUUAAGUUUGAUUCUUCGGAUGAAGACUUUUGUGACUGAGCGGCGGACGGGUGAGUAACGCGUGGGUAACCUGCCUUGUACAGGGGGAUAACAGUUGGAAACGGCUGCUAAUACCGCAUAAGCGCACGGCAUCGCAUGAUGCAGUGUGAAAAACUCCGGUGGUAUAAGAUGGACCCGCGUUGGAUUAGCUAGUUGGUGAGGUAACGGCCCACCAAGGCGACGGUCCAUAGCCGACCUGAGAGGGUGACCGGCCACAUUGGGACUGAGACACGGCCCAAACUCCUACGGGAGGCAGCAGUGGGGAAUAUUGCACAAUGGGCGAAAGCCUGAUGCAGCGACGCCGCGUGAGCGAAGAAGUAUUUCGGUAUGUAAAGCUCUAUCAGCAGGGAAGAUAA